CCCAAAUCAGGAUGAUGCAUGGAAAAAGCAUGCAGAUAAAGCAUAAUUUGCCCAAACGUGUCAUCACAAACUGACUUCCUAAAGGGGACUUUCAAGGCCUGGUUAACCUGUCCUGGCACUACUGAAGACAGCAAGAAUCUCGCUGCAGAUUUCAGGGAGAGCAAGAGCAGACCCUGUUUCCCUCUUCAGAAGAUUCCAUCAGCUGCAGCAGCUGUGCUAAGGAGCCUCUGUUGGAUUGCCCUGUUCACAGUGCUGGAGACAAAAAGUUCCCUUUUAUUUGAAGUCAAUGUACAUUACAUAAACAUAAACUCAUUCAAACCAACAGUCAUUCUGUAUCUGAAGCUAUCUGAUGUUUUCAUCUGCAGUUAUGCACAACCAGUUUCAGUGAGGUCUUAUUCUGUACCUCAGGUUUCUACAAGUAACAGAAAAUAACAGUUGGUUGUUUUGUCUCUGCUGGUCCUGAUUUUGCAAUCCCUAAAGACCAGCAUCUUCCUCUGCAAUUGACACAUUUUUGGGAAGAAAUAGAUCAAGAACUUCAAUAGAAGAAAGGUUCAGAAACAUCAACAACACCUUUCAGGAAGAAAAUCAAUAUGAGAUUAAUGAAAUUGAAAAAAAAAUUACAAAUAAAAUCCAAGGUGAUGCAACACAGGUUGUAAAAGUCAUUGUAAAUGGCUGACCAAACAACCGUCAUGGAGUCAUAAUUUAAAGGGAAGCUUCACUUUGGAGAAGAGUAAUGUUUAUAGAGAAGCUAAUUUUAUCUUUUUGAAUACUACUAAAAUACCUAUUGAAAGUAACAAGUUGUAGUCCAAAAUACUGCAGUGCAGCUCAGAGGAGAGCUAGCACAGGCCAUGAACUGGCCUCACAUGGUGCUCUAUGUCUGAUACCAUAAGAAAUACACAAUUUCACGAGCCCAGGCAAGCUGUAUAGGUAGAGCCCUGUCCUUGCUGCAAGGAUAGUUUUUGCUAGUGAUGUCAGUGAAUUGAUGUUUUUCUCUGAUUUUAGCCCAUGAAAGUUUAAAUACUGAGCCAGGAAACCCAUAGCAGUUAUACUGCAUGUAAUAUCAGUGAUUUUUAAACACAUUUGCUUAGGAGGAUUACUAAAUGGAAUUUGAACAAUGAUUUAUUAUUGGAAAUUAUUUCUGUUUGUUUAUUCACUCAGUUUUCCUAAUUGUGCCAUGUUAUUUUGCAUGGUAGUGUGCUGUACGAGGACACGAUAUGCACUUAAGCCUUUGGGCAUGUGAGAGAGGAAGAUACUGGGACUGAGACUCUUUGAUGUCACCAAAGUCAGCAAUGGCAAAAAGGUGCAUUUCUGCAAGAAUGUUCUAGGCAACCUCCUCAGCACAGAAGGAUGUGCUGCAGAUGGUGAUGCUCAGGAGCCAUUCCACCAGCCCACUAGGAUACAAGGUGAGGAUAACUGCAUCCAGCUGAGCUGUGCCAAAACUACCUUGACUUCCUGCCUCCUGUAUCUUUCUUUCCAUGCUGCAAAUCCAUGAGUGCUUGAAACAUCUGUGGCUGGCAAUGCCAGCCCAUGGCUGGUGAACAUCCUGCCCACUGCUGGUGCUUUAGGAGCCCUUUCUACAACACCUGCCUCCUUGGGACAGCAGCUGGGGCAUACAGUAGCUCAUCACCUCAUUGUCAGAGCACAGCUGAUAUGUUGGGGGACUAACUUCAACUAUUUCACUGCAGGAGAGCUUUAAUUCUGACUAUUGCAAGAAUAUAGACAAAUUUCUCAACCUGCUUCAGUCUGUGAACUGCAGAUACAUAUACAGGUUGGUUGAUCCUGGAUACAAAACCCAGCACUGCCCUCUGUCUUUACCUUCCCCAUUCCCUGCAAUUUGUGAAUGUUUGCCUAGAAAGGGUAAGAAAAGAUUCGGUUGCUGCAGAUCCUCCUAAACGCACCAGCUUUUCUGUUUGUUUGCUUAAUUUGCUACAUAUUAUUAACUCCACUGAGUUUCUGCCAGGCAGAAUUUGCAACUCGGUUACCCCAUGAGUGUGCUGCAACACUGCCAGGAAUUGAAAAUCACCAGUCUUCAUAAUCGCUGUUUUCCCAAAGACCAGGAGAGCAGACAGGCUAUUUUGGGCUAGAAAUGGAAAUCAGAAAAUGAGAUUUUCUUUCCCUGCUAGUUCCUCUCCUGGGAAUUGUAGUCCUUUUCUCUGUGCACAUGCUUUGGUUGUUGGGAUAUUGGUAAUGUGGGUCUCUCAGAGCAUCUGUCCCUGGAGCCUGUUCUCAAGCACUGCAAUGCCAGUGAACGUGGGAAAUCAUUCCCACUAGUACCCAUGUGCUGUUUGUUGAUAUAAUUUUACAUAUUAGACCAAAACCAGAUCAGGAUAGCCUGAUUUACCCCAUGAGUCUGGUGACAGUAAUUCAAAAGUCAGGUUUACAAAGUAAGUAAAGGUAUUUCCCAGCUACCUGCACUUCCUUUUCUAAUAGUGGUAAUCCAUCUGCAACUCUCAGGUUUGCAGAUUGCCUGCUGCCUCCUGUGGAUGAUGAAGUCCAGUCAUGAAUGCAAGCACUCUGGACUCGCAGUCCUGUCCAUGUCAGGGAUGUCUGGCCUUGCCUUCAGUUUAUAGCACAGACAUUGCCGUCUGAAUCAUCCAUAUCAUAUGGAUCUAAUGCAAGAUCUUUUCAUGGCCUUUACAUCUGAGAAGUUCCAAUUAUCAUUCCUCCUCAUCAAUUCUUCUAUCGUCAGUUCUAUCAUUCUUCAUUAAUUAUGCAUUUUUCUUUUUUCUGGAAAAAGCUUUGCAUUAUUAGGAGUUCAAGGUUUUGCUACAGCAACAUGCAGAUCUUGGAACUUGAGAACAAACCCUUAGCCCCAUAUGCACUUUUCUGUUGCCCCUAAUGGUAAUGAGAAGCAUUUUCUGGGCUAGAAAAUACCUUCAUUAGUUCAUGACAGGGUGAUUCUAGGCCUCUAUGCCGUUGUUUGAUGAAAUGCUAAUCAAAAGGGUCCUUUGAUAGAGAAAAAAAUAAUUAUCCUUUCAUAUUUUAGUCAAUUGUAUACUACUGAGAAGCAGUCUUUUCCUGCCUAUAGAAAUAAAGACAUAUUUAACCUUGAAAUAUAGAAAUAUUUAACCUUGGAAAAACAUAAUUCAUGCUAUUUUCUUCACAGGAGGAAAAGGAGUGGGCUAUUUUGGGGCACAAACCUCUUCAGUGAGAGAUAUCUCAGUGUCCUGGGGUGACUUGAUGAUGUUUGUAUCCCCAUUUGUCAGUUUAACCUAGAAAUAAGUCUUGCACCUUUAGGACUGGUUCCAAGAGUGAAGGGGGGAGUGGGGGGGGGUGAGAAGAAGCAAUGAGUUUGUUAUCAGGAACUGCACUUGCUCCCCUGCAUCCUUCUCCUGCACUAUGCAGUCUGCGGCAAGGACAGACAGAGGGACAGAGCUCUCCUUUGAUUUUUAAUUAGUUUUUAGCUAGCUGAGGCCGAGAAUUUCUCUGGACUGUGUUUUUCCAUUUUUUCUGGAACUCUUUGAACCUGCUCUGGACUGAAAACCCAGAAGAGCACCUGCAGCUCACACCUGUGGCCCACUGGACUGGGCCAGGGUUGCAGCAUUUCCAAUGCGAGAGGGACUGAUAACAGAAUGAGUUAGCAGAGCUACAGCCCACUUUCUGAGUGUGUCACCUCUUCUAAAUGGCAAGAGGUUUUAUUGUUCAAUAUUGUUCCUUUUUUAUUCUGCUGGUAAAUGCUUAGCCUGUUAAAUAAAGAAUUCUUUUUCCA